CAGUCGCCGCGGUAAUACGGAGGGGGCUAGCGUUGUUCGGAAUUACUGGGCGUAAAGCGCACGUAGGCGGCUUGGUAAGUUAGAGGUGAAAGCCCGGAGCUCAACUCCGGAAUUGCCCUUAAGACUGCCGAGCUAGUAGGUGAGAGAGGUAAGUGGAAUUCCGAGUGUAGAGGUGAAAUUCGUAGAUAUUCGGAAGAACACCAGUGGCGAAGGCGGCUUACUGGCUCAUUCUAGACGCUGAGGUGCGAAAGCGUGGGGAGCAAACAGGAUUAGAUACCCCAGUAGUCCCUGUCUCUUAUAC
rnacentral:rRNA from 1 species